UCGAGACGGUGCAGCCGCAGAAUCUGGGUUGGCGAUAAACUGGCGGCGGAAUCGCCCCAGGCGCAGCUCCUGAGCGGUUCCGGAACCACCUCCUCGGCCGCCGUGCGGACGGGGAGGGCCAGCCAGCAGCCGCUGCAACCCCAGGGAG
rnacentral:sRNA from 1 species